UAAAAACGACUUUACACUGCUUUACAAACUCCUUUUACCAUAAUUUGCUGCUACAGCAAUGCUAAUGCUGGAAGGAAAAAAAGGUGACUCAGGGCAACUGCUCCCUCUGCUGAGUAAUCCUCCUGCCAGAAGCUCUGCACUUGCAGUAUUCAUUCAACUCUGCUUUCCCUGCAACACAGUUAUGUUGUUGACUCUUGCUUCCUUGUGCAUAGUAAAAAUUUUGAGAACCCCCCAGUCUCUGGGCUUUCAACAACAAAACACUGAUUUCUUGGUCACACCAGUGAAAAAGAAUAACAUUUUAGUAUUUAUAAAUAUUAGCAUGGAAUUUGAAAUUUCUUAUAGUUAUUUUGUUACAAAAGUGGUUUGAGUUUUCUGCAUUUUGGUUUAUAAUAGCUGUGCUUGAUGGAAAAAGGAAAAGUGAAAAUGAAGGAAAAGGAAAAGAUCAGUUAGUGAAAAUACUAACCCAUGUCCCUGAGAAUGUUGUUUUCUUUUAGAUUUACAGUGGUAAAAUAACUUGUCAAGGUAGCUGAAAGGCUAUUUUUACUCUAUUUGAAAACUACAGUCUGAUUUAAAGAUUCUUUUAUUGUUGUAUCUGCCUCUUUCUGUUUCUGAAUAACACCAUUAGUGCCAGGCCUCCAGCUGGACUUUGUGCCAUUGAUCACAACCCUUUGAGCCUGACAGUUCAGCAAGUAUUCAGUGCACCUCACAGUCCAUUUAUCUAGCCCAUGCUUCAUCAGAUUCUGAGGCAUUUUGAAGACUUGGUAAACACAUGCCAAUAGGAAAGUGAAUCCUUGUUCUUGUAAGAUCUAUAAUGUGUGUAUUGUAUAUUAUAGAUCUUACAAAGUGUUUCUGCUGAAUUAGUUUGAUUUUCAGUUUGCAGAGGAAUUCACAACUCCUGCUUUGCUAUUUCUGCAUGGAUGAGGGCAGUGUCAGGUUUAUUUUCUUAUGAAGAGGAAAGUGAUCCCUAUUCCUUGCAUAGCUGAUUCAGUGAGUAUUAAUUCUACUGUUAUAUAAAUUAUUUGUACUUUGGGUAGCUAGGCCAUCUCUAGAAAUCUGUAUAAACAGUAUUAAUAGAUCAAUUUUGUGAGGAUUUUUUCUCUACCUGUGAAAAACUUUUUUUGAACAGUUGCCCUUUCUGCCAGGAUAGAUCAUGAGUUCAUUCAUGUGAGUGAACUCAUAUUACUGUAUCACCCUGGUACAGUAGGGGCAGAGAGUUUUGCACAUGCUCUUUCUGCAGAAUGAAUAGCACAAACUGAAUUAGUUCAAGGUCCUGAACCUUUCUGAAGGUUCUCUCUUGGUGUCCUAAUCUCUGUCUGGCGGAAUUAAGAGCUGUUUCUGUGACCGGUAUAACUAAGCAACAGUUAGAUCUCAAAGAACCAGCUCAUCCAGAAUGUGUGUGGACUGUCCACACAGUUUGAUGUUUUCCAAAUGAAUUUUUUAUCAUUUGCCCUGGUCCAGUCGAUGAGAUCAUGCAGGUUGUCUCCAAAAGCCCUCACUGCUGCUUGUUAAGAGAUUCUGAGGAUUAAGUACACUGAAUUGAGGUUUUCCAUCUCCUUAUCAGGGCUAGACGUGUGAAGUGUCUGGGCUUGAAUUGACGCCUCAGGUCCACUUAACCCUUCUUUGUAGUUAGCAAAGUAUUUGCCUGCCUUUGAGUGGUGCCCAACAAAACCAGGACCAGAAAGAACACCUUUCUGCCUGUUGUAAGUGCAUUUCUUUGUCUCCAGGCUCUCCUCCCCCCCUUUUACAUACUAAUCUUAAUCCUGAAGUUUUAGUCCUUUAUGAACUUCAUUAUAAAACUACUUUAUUCUUGAAAUUAUUUGUAUUACAGUUGUGAUUGUUUUAAUUAUGGAAAGCAGUGGACUAAGAGAAAAUUGUGAGAUUAUAAGUGGUGGCCUAAAGCCAGAGAAGGAACUUUUCACUGGGAAGAUUUGUACUGAAGGUUUCUAUCACUUGUGACCAAGAAUUGGUUUAGGAAAAAGUUAGGGUGAGUGGAAUACUGAAGAAAAUAAGGGAAUUUGGGAAGGAUUAGUAGUUUUCUUGUCAAAAGAGAGCUGAGAAAUAUGCAGCCUUAACUUUCUAAUCCUCCAUAUCAAGAAAAGAAAAAUUUACUAAUUUUUUCCAGGGAAAAUAUAAACAGGACUAUCCUGAUUCUGCCCCCAGAAUCAAACAACUUAUCUUUAUGUUUCAGUUUCUUCUCUGCAGUAUGAGGAUAGAGAUAUUGAGCAGUUUUUGUGAGGUGGUUUGAGAGCUGUAACUGUAAGUGCAAGCUAACACAGCAGUGCUUUCCUUUGAUGCUGAAUGCUGAGCAUGAUGCAGGACUAAGAAGUUGCUGGAUAAAUAAUAGCAUAUGAUGGUUGCAGAUAAUGACAUUUGUGAUUUUAUGCAAUGUGAUGUGAUUUAUUUUGUUUCCUUCUAUGUUUUUUUUCCCAUGGGGGAAAGCAGGCAACUGUUUUUUCCAGUGCUGAGAUGUAAUCUACAAAGCUGAUUCUGACGAAAAAUUAGCCCAUGAUCUCUUGAUGAAUGAUCAAAACAGGUGUUCAGCCGUCUCAAGGAAAGCAGUGUUCCAUCACCUGUAACGGUUACUUCAGAAGACAAAUGCCAUCACUCCAAACAUCUGUCCCUUCCUCCUCCUUCCCCCAGCAUUAUAUGAGAUGGCUUCUUCGUGUGCAGAGUGGAUUUGUCACAGUGGGACACCAGCCUUUCUCUCCCUUUGAUCAACCACCUACUGAGAAGCAGUGCGAAGUCAAUAGUUUUGGGCAUGCCGCUUGUUUUAACUGGGACAGAUCUGAUCUCCAGAACUGUGAUGUGCAGAACUGGGAAGGAGUAACAUGGAAAUAGAGUAAUCCUUGCAGAAGGUAAGAAACAAGAAAGGAAUAUUUCCUAUGGACUGUUCCUCCAGUGACCAGGUGCUUGAGAACAGAACUUUACUGUGCUGAUCUGGUAGGCUGAGGAAUAUGCCGAGUUCCACGUGGGAAUAAAUUGCCUGUGUCUUAAGUUUUUUAUGUUCUGGAAAGAAAGAUGUCCAAGUGGGAAAGAAAAAUAGUUCCAAGAGGAAAAGAGGAAUAGUUCACUGACAAUAAAAUCCCUAAAGGUGGUUGUCCUCUGUUUAUCUGCUAAAAAGGAGCAGCGCCAGCAAAGCCUUUUUAUGCCAUCCUGGUCUUCAGGCACAAGAGAAGUCUUUUCUUUUGAAGGAAUUCCUGAGAGAGUAAUUCAGUCUGCGGACCCUGCUUUGUCAACCAACAAAUGGAGCAGUUAAGUUACCUUUGUUGACAGAAAGAAGGAAAUCAAGAAGUCAAGUCCAGGCUCCUCUUAGCACUGGUAUCCUCAUAACAUGAGAUUCAGCAAAGUGGUUGUAAAAGGUUUUGCAGCUCUGGCAGUGCUUCUUGUCUGGGCAGCAUUGCCUUGGUGUGCUUUUAUUUUUCUUCACAUUGGAGUGUGAACAGAAGCUGUUGUCUAAACAGUUGACAUUUUCCUUUUUUGCAGUCUGUGGCUCUUCCUUGAUCCUUGUGUCUGCUGCUUGUAUUAACUGUCUUCUUGUCCCUCGCUGCACAUUCUGGCCAGUAAGUGGUGCUCCCCCCUUCCUUCCUGCAGCUUCAUUCUUUGUGCAGAGCUAAGAAGUGCUGACAUACAUUGCUGUGGCUUUCAGGUAUGUCUCACCCAGACAGUAUGUCAUUCUUUGAUGUAGUGUAUUGAUACAAUAAUGCUAUUUCUAACUUGAACCCUAAUGGUGUGGUUUUAAUUACAACUUCCUGGUAUUGUCCAUACUGGAGAUUUUAUGUACUGCUACAGAGGUCCUUGAAUAGGAUCCUCCGUUGCAGGCCACCAGAUGAGAUGGGCCCCAGUUGGGUUUUCAUGCAUAAUGUUGAAAGUGAAGAGGAGGAAGUUUAUGUGGCUGGCAUGGCUAUAAGGAAACUAGAAAUCUGAAGAAAAUGAGACCUUGGGGUACAGCACUUUUGUUUGGAUCUACACAUCCUAGUGCAGUAUUCUUGCCAACUAAAGAAGCAUGUUUCUUUGCAGCGAUAUGUGGAUUUGUUGGGAUAUGGGAUGGACCUUUUCCACUGGCCCUUUACAGCCAGGCUCCUUUUAGCAAUGUAAUUCCACUGUGAAUUCUGAUGGCCAUAGUCCAGAUUUUUCCGCUCUUGAUCGCUACUGUGCUGGGCUUUUUUGCCUGUAUAUAAAUGAUGGCACAGGGACCAAGGCAGAAGUAAAUCUAGUCUUCUGUUUUAUCCUUAAGUGAUGGUACAGUUUUUAGAAGUAGCAAAUAGCUACCCAAAUGGUUUUGUUACAGAGACAGGGAGUAAAACAAAUGUGAAGAAUAGGGGGGAAGAAAUGGACCAAAGGAGGUGAGGCAAAGAAGAUGGGAGUACAGAAAGACAGGAAAAUUGAUAAAUAAAAAAAAAAAGAGAAGUGACUAAAGCAAGAGAGGAGAGAAGGAGAUUCUCUCCUGAUUAGAAUUCAUGAACUCCAUUCUUACAUUAAGUCUAUAUAUGACACCUGGCCUUUAAUGUGAAGCUGCCUACGAGCAUUAAAAAUUAAAAGCAGAAGGUACGAUCCAUCCAUCUCGGGAAGCGCUGCUCCCCUCCUAUCUGAGCUCUGCACAAAGCUAUUACACAUUGAUAAAUUAUUUUGGGUAAUAGCUGAGAUAUUACAUUGUUUCUGAGUGAAGGUAAAAUCUCUCCAUGACAUGGGCAUUUAUCAGGAGUGCAUUUCAUCCUAUUUAUUAUGGCUGAGACGAGAUCGCAGGCUGCGGGCAGAGCUGGCAUGUCGUGCUGAUCACCUCCCCCAUCGCCUCCCUUCCCUCUGUCACUUGGAUGAUGGGAUAUUGAUGGAGCUCAUGACAAGUUAAUUAUUAACUAAAGAUAUGCAGUUCACCUCUGCCAGGGGAGGGGGCAUAGAAGAGAGCAAUGAUAGUUCUUAAAAAAAUAAAUAUAUCCAUAGUAUCUCAGGAUUCUUCUCUCCACCUUUAUCUCACUUCUAUCUGUGAUAUUUUACAACCCCCCAAAUACAUCAGGUAGGUUAUUUGAAUUCCAGUAUGGUCUAGAAGGCCAACAGAAAUGGAAGAACCUCUAAAAACUUAAGAUCUUGUUCAAGAAAAGUUUCCACAGAAGUUUCUCUCCAUUGGCUUGGCAUUGGAAGUAAGUAGGGGCAAAUUUUCACUGUCCACUGAGUAACAAUGACUUCUCUGCCUCUUGAAAGGGCCAGAAAGCAGACCCAUGGAAUUUUGAUUCAGGCCCAUAAAUGAAUGCUUGCUUUCUUUGUAAAGAAGGGAUAUCCUGACAUCCUCUGAAUAUUUUAGCUAUUCCUUUCCAUUGAGCGCUGGAUGUUCCCCUGAAGGUCAGCUGGUUUUGCGGGACAGAGGGAAGAGGGCAAUGGUCAUAAAAACAGUGCUUGCUUGCUUCUUCGUCUGAGCUUCUAGGCUAAACAAAAUGAGUUUGCACCGAAUGAUGGACUGUGUCAUAUUUGCAUCCUGGUAAUCUUGCCCAUUGAGAGAGACAGCUGCUGUAUGUGAACCUUUGGGUUAUAGUAUCAGAUACACUUAGGUAUAACAAAUGAGUUACUCAGUUGAUUGGCUGCGGACUGAGUAGUCCUUCAGUCAGCAGCAUUCACUUUGCAGUAACAGAGACAGUCAGUACUACCUCAUGGCUAUGUACAAGGAGCUAGUGUCUCAGCCAAACUAGUGCCUUACUUAUUUUGCAGAGAAAAUGGCGGAGCAUUGCAUUGGGAAGUUUUCCUGUUGGCAGUCUCAUCAGCAAGGCUGAGGUGUAAAUGGUCCUCUGACUAAUUCUGCAGUUUGUUGACUAGGUUGGAGACAAGUCAGUAAAAAAGCAUUCAGAUGACAGAGGCAACUAGUGUACCAUUAUAGGCUAAGCUGCUUCUGGUUUGUCCAUAAGCUAUCUUAGCAAUUAUGUUGGUCAGGUAGUUCUAGAAGAAAGAAGCCACUGCUGCA